rnacentral:misc_RNA from 1 species
CACUGAUGAAGGACAGAGCCACGACGAUCUUGACAAACCAGUCGAUAGAAGCAAAAGGAAUGAUAAACAUGAAACUGACAUUGCAAGUGAUUCAGGCAAAUAUUCACCACAAAAUAUCCACAAUCCAAACUGGAAGGGACCGAUGCCACUUUACCCUGAUGAACUUAAUGCAAUGAUAAAACAAGCGGCUUUAGAAAAUUUACAUCAAGUUCCGUUAAAUACGAAAGAUAC